GGAAAAAAAUUAGCAGAAACUGCUAACAUCUGGAGGCUGCCUCCAGUUUACGUAAUCUGCAGCAGAGGAGGAACAUGGGAUCCCCAGCCAGAUGGUCCGUGGGUGACUUUACAGCACAUGAGCUACCUCCAAGAGUAAGAUGCUGACGGGGUUAAAAGAGUGGGAUGCAAAACCUUCCCGAUAUUCUUACAAGGGGGACAUGGUUCUGGGUUCAAAUUCUAGACUUCCCUGUUCUACCACUGGGCCACCUGUAGAACCUGGGUGAGAAGACCACAGAGGCUAAUUAAUUUGCUCAAGAUAUCAAUGCAAGUAGCAGCCUUCUCUCCCUCCAUCUCUCCCUCCCUAGAUGUACUCUAGACCUGCUCUGUCCAACAGGGGAGUCUAAUGCCUACAUAAUAGACCAUUUAAAUUUAGUGAAUUAAAAUUAAACCAAUUAAGUAGUGCCUCAGUUUCAUGAGCCACAUUCCUAGGGCUCAAUAUCAUAGGUGGCUAGAUAUGAACAGGACACUCAUAUGAAGAACACUUUCAUCAUCAUGGAAGGCUCUAUUGGACAGGUAGUCCAGAGUCUGGCCUGUGAACACUGAGACAAUUUUGCCCUCUCUGAAACAUAAACUCCUGACUAUAGCUCCUUGAUGCACGCCAGUUUAAUCUCCUCCUUCCCAUUGCAUUAAAUUGAUAUUCUCUUCCUGGAACGCUUGCCACCAGUCAGCUGCACUGCAGACAUGGACAUCACCCAGGUGGCAUCUGCAUUUCUGAAGGCAGCAUCUUGCCAGGAGACAAGAUCUCUUCCAAACCUGUCACUUCCCUAGGGGUCUCUCUUCCAGGAAGGAGAGAAAGGCAGAUAUCACCUAAGUGUCCCUUCCACCAGCUGCACACAUGUGUCAUGUUUGGAAAAGGAUUCUGGGGUGGGCAGGAGCCCAAAGGAAAACUUUCUUGGACACAUGGCACAGGGAACCUCUCAACA